GCCUGGUCUGAAGGUAGUGAGUUAUCUCAAUUGAUUGUUCACAGUCAGUUACAGAUCUAACUCCUAUUCUUCUCUUUUCCCCCUUCUCACUACUGCACUUGACUAGUCUUAA
rnacentral:Y_RNA from 1 species